CGUUACCGACUUCAAUCUUUCGCUUUUCUCUCUAAGUUUUGCGAUAUAAUUUUAAAAAGGCAAACGUUCUGACAGAUUGUUAAUGGAUCAUCUUGCAUGUGACACUGAUGUGACAUUUGUACAGAAAACGCACGUCUGGCCUACAAUGAUGUAAUAAAGGAGAGCUACCUUUCUGAUAUACGUAAAGCAAAGUGAUGGUUAUAUUAUCAUGAUUUCAUAAUGAUUGUAAAUGGAUUGAUGGCUCGAAACUUUUCCCGUUUGUUUGUAUUGCUUUUAGUUUGGUGUGGUAUUUUAACCUCGUUGAAUACACUGCUAUUGU